CAGGACGAACGCUGGCGGCACGCUUAACACAUGCAAAUCGAACGGAGUUAAAUUGGAGCUUGCUUGAUUAACUAGUGGCGGACGGGUGAGUAACACGUGAGCAACCUGCCUUGAGAGUGGAACAGCUUCUGGAAACGGAUGGUAAUACCGCAUGAAAUUAUCUGACCGCAUGAUCGGAUAAUCAAAGAUUUAUCGCUCAAAGAUGGGCUCGCGUCUGAUUAGAUAGUUGUGGGGUAACGGCCUACCAAGUCGACGAUCAGUAGCCGGACUGAGAGGUUGAACGGCCACAUUGGGACUGAGACACGGCCCAGACUCCUACGGGAGGCAGCAGUGGGGAAUAUUGCACAAUGGGCGGAAGCCUGAUGCCAGCGAUGCCGCGUGGAGGAAGAAGGUUUUCGGAUUGUAAACUCCUGAUCUGAGGGACGAUAAUGACGGUACCUCAGGAGAAAGCUCCGGCUAACUACGUGCCAGCCGCCGC
rnacentral:rRNA from 1 species